rnacentral:lncRNA from 1 species
AUGGCACUGAUAGGAUGGCAUUGCUGGGAUGGCACCAGGGGGAUGGCACUGCUGGGAUGGCAUUGCUGGGAUGGCACUGGUGGGAUGGCACUGAUAGGAUGGCAUUGCUGGGAUGGCACCAGGGGGAUGGCACUGCUGGGAUGGCAUUGCUGGGAUGGCACUGGUGGGAUGGCACUGAUAGGAUGGCAUUGCUGGGAUGGCACCAGGGGGAUGGCACUGCUGGGAUGGCAUUGCUGGGAUGGCACUGGUGGGAUGGCACUGAUAGGAUGGCAUUGCUGGGAUGGCACCAGGGGGAUGGCACUGCUGGGAUGGCAUUGCUGGGAUGGCACUGGUGGGAUGGCACUGAUAGGAUGGCAUUGCUGGGAUGGCACCAGGGGGAUGGCACUGCUGGGAUGGCAUUGCUGGGAUGGCACUGGUGGGAUGGCACUGAUAGGAUGGCAUUGCUGGGAUGGCACCAGGGGGAUGGCACUGCUGGGAUGGCAUUGCUGGGAUGGCACCUCCGGACACGGACCCGCCUGCGGCGAGCCGGGCGCCGGCGCCGCCGCCUCCUGCUCCUCCUGCUCCUGCAGCUCCACCGCUCCCGCUUGCCACCUCCACCCCAUCUAUUACCAUCACACCGCCUCUUAUUUCCUCCAGAUGGACUCCACCCCCGACCUGCCCCCUCCCGAUGUCACCUCUGGAGCUGCCUGUCGCGCGGGGAGCUUUGGAGGAUCCAGCAAUAAGGUCAGAGCGGCUCCGGGCUGGGGGGAGAGGGGCUGGGGGGGCCCCCCCCCCCCCCCCCCCCCCCCCCCCCCCCCCCGGGGGGGCUGGGGGGGCACAGAGCUUUGUGCUGCCAGGGCCUGCUCAGGGGGUCACUGCUGGGGCUGGGACAGCAGCACCACGUCCCAAAUCCCCAAACCCCCACGGGCAGCCCUGCUCCCAGCGGGGAGGGAGAGCCAGGAACGCAGGGAAAUGAGGAACUCACAGCUCCUGCAGGGUGCAGGGGAGGAAGCUGCUGCCGGCUCUGUGUGCAGGCUGUGCCAAGCUCAGCCCCUCAGCAGAUUGGGGAAUUUGCCAGAAGAAAAGCCCUGGUGCCCCGUGCACAGAGCCCAGCAGCCAGGGCCAGGCACAGAGGGAGGCAGCAGGGCUCUCUGCUGCUGGGGCACAGCCAGGGCGGCUCCUGAGCACCCAGGCACAUCCCUCACGGGCUGCAGGGCUGGGGAAACACAGCAGUUUGGUCUCCAUCCUCCUCCUGCUCCUCCUCCACUCCCCGGCGUUCUGUACUCCAGCCUUUCCUUAUUCCAUGCUUUGCUCUCUGCCUCUUGUGUUUGCCAUCCCCAUCUCCCCUCCUCCCUGCCGGGUGGAUCCUCUGGGUGGGAUGAGGCAGGAGGAAGCAGAUCCAUGGUGCCUGAGGCAGGUGGGUGCUGGCAGGAGCUCUGUGCAGCUGCUGGGAGGGCCUGGAUCCGUGGAGAAGAGCUGCUGGGUGCAGGAAGGCUCCCAGGCGUUUCCCUGUGCAGGAGGGAUGAGCUGGCAGGGGCUCCUGCUGCUCUGCAGAAACUUCUCUGCUCCCUCCCUGGGGUCCCAUCCCGUGUCCUGGGACAGCUUUUCCUCUUGAAAAGGUGCAGGAGCAGUUCAGGAGCAUAACCCUGGUGGGAAUGAGUGGGAUACAGGCUGAGCCUCCCCCAGGCGAUGGCAGCACCCUGGGAAUGCCCUUCCCUCCCUCUUGUCCUGCCAUGGGCUCAGCAGUGGCCAGUCCUGGUGCUGUGCCUGUCCCAGCCAGUGUGACCCUGGGAGUCCUGUCCCUGCUGUUGUGCACUUGUGGGAGCCACCAGGAAAAAUCUCACCUGGGGCUGCAGAAAAUCCCAGGAGUUCCUGGCCAUUGGUGUUCAGCUCCCAAAAGCAGCCUGUGGGUGCCACAGGAGGAAUGCAGGAGGUGCCUGUGCCAGGUGUCCUGGUCUGUGGGGUGUCCCCUGGACUGUCCCUGCCGUGGUGGCAGUGUCCUGGGUGCCAGGGUGUGCCCAGAGCCUGGCACAGCAGGGUGGGCAUGCUGCUGUCACCAGCUCUUCCCUGUGUCCCCCAGGAAUUACAGCUGGAGGGGUUGUGUAUGAGCAGAGUUGGGAUAUUGGGAAUUGGGUGCUCUUGGGCAUCAGCUCCUGCAGCUCCCUGGAUGAGCCCAGAGGGAGGAACUGGGGCUCCAGUGAGGUGGAACCCAUGUGGUGAAUCCAGUCCAGGGCCCAGGAUCCCCAAAACAGCCACAGCAGGAGGGGACAGCACCCCCAGCCCCUGUGCUGCAGGGAGAGUCACCAGGGAUCCCCAAAACCAGCCAGGAAUAGGGACAGCACCCCCAGCCCCUGUGCUGCAGGGAGAGUCACCAGGGAUCCCCAAAACCAGCCAGGAAUAGGGACAGCACCCCCAGCCCCUGUGCUGCAGGGAGGGCAGUCCCAGGAGGUGACAGUGGCCCUGUCCUGCCCUGUCCCACCUCCCAGCAGGACCAGCUGUCCUGGGAUCAGGUUCCCAGGAAGAAAUCCCUGCUGGAGCAGAGCUUGGCUCCCACCUGCUGCUGUCAUGUGCUGCUCACGCUGCCAGGGUGGCUCUGCUCUGCUGCAUGGACACCUGCAGGGCCUGCAGCAGAGCCCACAGGGAGCACUCGCCCUCCUCACACAGCCUUCAAGUCUCCUCAGUGGAAGGAAUCCCAUUUUUCCUGUGUUUGCUGCUCUCUGGCUGUUUUAAAGGAUUUCUGUCACCCUCACUUGGAUGGCUCCUGUGGGGCUGUGGCAGCCAGAAGGGUUGGGUUGGAUUUCCUGGGGGAGAAGAUGGAGUUGGGACACUGAUGGUGAAGGGAUGGGGUGUUGCUGUGCCCCAUGCCCAGCCAGGGCACGCUGGGUCCCCCUGGGCCCUCCCAGCUCCUCCAUGAGCGGUCUGGAGUUGGCCCUGCAUCCCUGCCAGGAUCCCACCCUGAGGGAGCCUGCCCCUGAUCCUGGCUCUGAGCAGCACCAUCCCCUGUGUCCUGGUGUGAGGGACAGGUGUCUGCCAAUCCCCCCCCCCCCCCCCCCCCCCCCCCCCCCCCCCCCCCCCCCCCCCCCCCCCCCCCCCCCCCCCCCCCC